AAAGGUUACAGUAGAACUGGGGUAAGCAGACAUUGAUCACUCAGGCUAAGCAUCAGACUGACUCUACUACUUGGUUAAAGAAUUACAUGAGACUUCUCAAAUUUCAAUAUUCAAUCCACAUCAGGAGCACAUCUGACUCUGCUAGAAGGACAGUGACUUUUGAGAAGAUGAAAUGGCUUUUUCUUGACUGCUGUUUUGCAGAAGAAAAGCUUUGCUACCUUUAUCAUCAAACAAAGUCAGUGCCAGGAAAUAAACCACAGUCCUACUGAAGUGAACAUCCACCAUGAAAAAAAACCCAAGGUAAAGACUACAUGUAUAGAUUUUUGCAGUCUUCGGUGAGGGUGGAGAGGAACGAGAGAAAACAAAAACUCCAUUGCUGCAGCCAUAUCUUCCCACAAGAACUGCAAAUAUACCAGUUAAGGAAGUCGUCACUGAAGACCAUUAGAAGAUACUUCUUCAUUGCUAUUAUGGCUGCUCCUUGUGUUCUCCAAGCAGAUUAAUUUUCAUCAGCAAUGCUCUAACUCAUUUGGCUUCUAACUUUGGAGCCAACAUUUCUCAUUACCAUUUUAGGAAUCCAGCUACUACACAGUAAUGCUGUCUGGCUGACAGCUGCGUUGGAACAACUAUAUACUUCUCCUUUCACAACAGAGGAUAUUUCUAUGAGCAAUUUUUCUAGCUCCUGUAGGAAUGCUUUUGUCUUCCCUGAUCCCCAGAGACAAGGGGAGAAAGUUUUAGAUUAGCUCCCCUCCCCCUUUGCUAGCUUUAUAAAAAAAAUAACCUGUCAUUGGAAGCAGACAUCACUCAGCAUCAUCGGAACCAGGCCUGGAAAUCAUGAGUUUCCUUUACAUUUCUGGACAGAAAGUAUUUCAAAAUAGAAAAGUGCAUCUAUAUUAACUGUCAAUGGCCUGUUUUCCAUCAUGACACAAAAUC
rnacentral:lncRNA from 7 species